rnacentral:tRNA from 1 species
GUCAUUUUAGUUAAAUUAAGAACCUUUGAUUUGCACUCAAAAAGUGAGAAUUCUCUCAAAUGACC